GACGAACGCUGGCGGCGUGCUUAACACAUGCAAGUCGAACGGAAAGGCCCUGCUUUUGUGGGGUGCUCGAGUGGCGAACGGGUGAGUAACACGUGAGUAACCUGCCCUUGACUUUGGGAUAACUUCAGGAAACUGGGGCUAAUACCGGAUAGGAGCUCCUGCUGCAUGGUGGGGGUUGGAAAGUUUCGGCGGUUGGGGAUGGACUCGCGGCUUAUCAGCUUGUUGGUGGGGUAGUGGCUUACCAAGGCUUUGACGGGUAGCCGGCCUGAGAGGGUGAACGGCCACAUGGGGACUGAGAUACGGCCCAGACUCCUACGGGAGGCAGCAGUGGGGAAUAUUGCACAAUGGGCGGAAGCCUGAUGCAGCAACGCCGCGUGCGGGAUGACGGCCUUCGGGUUGUAAACCGCUUUCGCAUGUGACGAAGCGUGAGUGACGGUAAUGGGUAAAGAAGCACCGGCUAACUACGUG
rnacentral:rRNA from 1 species